UACGUAGGGUGCAAGCGUUGUCCGGAUUUAUUGGGCGUAAAGAGCUCGUAGGCGGCUUGGUAAGUCGGAAGUCAAAACAGGAGGCUCAACCUCCUGUCGCUUUUGAUACUGCCAUGGCUUGAGUUUGGUAGGGGGAUGAGGGAAUUCCUGGUGUAGCGGUGAAAUGCGCAGAUAUCAGGAGGAACACCGGUGGCGAAGGCGCGUCAUCGUGGGCCAAUACUGACGCUGAGGCGCGAAAAGCGUGGGGAGCGAACCGG
rnacentral:rRNA from 1 species